GCUUGCAGCUAGCUCUCUGCAACUCUCAAAUGGUCACCAUCUGAAGCUAAACAGGGCUGCGCCGGUCAGUACCUGGAUGGGAGACCACAUGGGAAAGCUAGGUUGCUGUUGGAA
rnacentral:rRNA from 1 species